GGGGAAGCCAUAGUUAGGGUUUUCAAGCUUCCAAGCUCCAUAAUCAAGAAGUACGAAACUCGAGGUUAGACAAAGGGAAGAAUAAAGUUGAAGACUAAGUUGGUGAAUUUGGCUAUAAUUGGUACCGAGUAUUGCAAAGCUACUUCAAGGAUCCUAAAGAAGUCGAAGAUCGUCCACACUAUCAACCACAACUGCUCGGUAUUUUAUAUCGAAUCACGUUUGAGUUAUGGCAUGUAUAGGGAUUUAGUUAUUUUGUAUGUUUGUGAUUAUGAUUUUGCUAAAGAAUGGUGUGUAAGUAUUUGAUGAUGUAUGGUUAUUAAAAUGGUUAAGUAUGAAGGUAUUUGUUGUUAUAA